rnacentral:rRNA from 1 species
AAGUCGAACGGUAACAGAAAAAGCUUGCUUUUUGCUGACGAAUGGCGAACGGGUGCGUAACGCGUAUGCAACCUACCUUUUUCAGAGGGAUAGCCCAGAGAAAUUUGGAUUAAUACCUCAUAAUAAUAUUUUCUCGCAUGAUUAAAUAUUUAAAGUUUCGGCGGGAAAAGAUGGGCAUGCGUAACAUUAGUUUGUUGGUGAGGUAACGGCUCACCAAGACUACGAUGUUUAGGGGUUCUGAGAGGAUGAUCCCCCACACUGGUACUGAGACACGGACCAGACUCCUACGGGAGGCAGCAGUGAGGAAUAUUGGUCAAUGGACGAAAGUCUGAACCAGCCAUGCCGCGUGAAGGAUGACUGCCCUAUGGGUUGUAAACUUCUUUUGUAUAGGAAGAAACCCCUCUACGUGUAGAGGGCUGACGGUACUAUUCGAAUAAGCACCGGCUAACUCCGUGCCAGCAGCCGCGGUAAUACGGAGGGUGCGAGCGUUAUCCGGAAUUAUUGGGUUUAAAGGGUGCGUAGGCGGAAAUUUAAGUCAGUGGUGAAAGCCUACAGCUUAACUGUAGAAUUGCCAUUGAAACUGAACUUCUUGAAUCUAAUUGAAGUAGGCGGAAUAUGACAUGUAGCGGUGAAAUGCUUAGAUAUGUCAUAGAACACCGAUAGCGAAGGCAGCUUACUAAGUUAGUAUUGACGCUAAUGCACGAAAGCGUGGGGAGCGAACAGGAUUAGAUACCCUGGUAGUCCACGCCGUAAACGAUGAUUACUCGCUAUUGGCGAUAUACAGUCAGUGGCCAAGCGAAAGUGAUAAGUAAUCCACCUGGGGAGUACGAUCGCA